rnacentral:rRNA from 1 species
UACGUAGGGGGCUAGCGUUGUCUGGAUUCAUUGGGCGUAAAGCGCACGCAGGCGGCUUGGUAAGUCAUCGGUGAAAUCCCCCGGCUCAACCGGGGGGGGUCCGGCGAAACUGCCAGGCUUGAGGUCGGGAGGGGGAAGCGGAAUUCCGGGUGUAGUGGUGGAAUGCGCAGAUAUCAGGAGGAACACCGAUGGCGAAGGCAGCUCGCUGGAACGGUACUGACGCUGAGGCGCGAAAGCGUGGGGAGCGAACAGG